GCCCCCUCCCUGCCCCAAUCUCCGCCGCCCUUUUGUGUUUUGCCCCCUGUGGAAAAUCAGUGUAAAAACCCCAAAUUUGUCGCAAAGCACAACACCCCCAUUUCUGCUCCCUCACGGUGGCGGUGGGGGCACAAAAUGGCCGGGGGCAGGUCCCCGGGGGGAGCUGCUGAGGGGCUCCACGGGACCCCCGGCCCCCUCAGGGAGCCCCGGGAGUGCUGAGGGGGUCCCGAGAGAGACCCUCGGCGGGCGGGGUCCGGCCCCUGCUCUGCCUGGGGAAGGGGCCUGAGGGUCCUGAGAACGUGCUGGGAAGGAGCGGGAGGAGUAUGGGAACACUAAAUGUUGGGAACGCUUUCUGUGUGUGUAACAAAAUAAAAUAAGGUGUUCAGGUCUGCAUCCGCUUGGCUGCCUCGUUCUCUGUCUCAGCACGCUGCGUCCUGAGCUCUCCUGAGCUUGAUUCUGGGCUUUGAGAUGAGCAGCAUCAGAAAUAAGACCUCACUUCUGGCUGGGGCAUCUGACGGGAAGCCACCGAGGCACCUGGACGCAAGCGUGGUGCCUCGCCGGCCUGAGCGAGGCAGCGGCUUCAGGAUGCUGAGGUCUGUGAUCUGCUUGCUGUCAGUGGAAGAUGGAGAAAGUGACCUGAUCUGUUCCCUGCAAAUGGUCGGUGACAACAGAGGGGCCGGGGAGGUUUUCUCCUCGGGAUUUGUACCGAAGCUGGCAGUGUCACGGAGCAGGAGCAUCUCUGCUGGGAGAGGGAGAUUCCCUCUCGUGGCCUCGCUCCAGGCGCUCGUAUUUAUGGAGAUUCCAGCGAGCACUCCACCCUAUUCCUUUGCAAUGCGGGAUCCAACAUAAAAACCUUGCACGGCCGUCACGUGGCUGGUUACUGUAUCUCGGCUGUGGAGCAGCAACUGGAAAACAAGCCGCAGCAGCUCUCCGAGCUACUCCUGCUCGGCUCACAAACGCUUGCUCGACGAAUCAUUAAAAACAGCUCGUGCGGAAAUAGCCAAAGCAUGGGACGGACGGGUAUUUACGCGGACAGAGCCGUAAAAAUCUCUUGGUAGGGCAGCAUGUGGGAAUAGCAUAGGAGGACCGAGGUACUCGCUUCUCGGAAAGCAAGAGGAAGUUCAUUUCUAGUGCCUUCCAUUUACUCCGACAUUUAAAGAAUUUCACUCACUUGCCCGUGGAAUAUUGUUGGGAUGCCUGAGAAAGGAGCUAAGAAUAGCAGAGCAUGGAGACUGGCGGGCAACACCAGUGACACUUUGUUGCAGGAGGCAGAUACAGAGGAAUUCAUUUUUGUAACAAGCACGGAAGCUAUAGGAGGAGAGCUUGAGAGCUGUACUUGAACACAGAUGGAAAAUGAGGAAAGGCAGCCUAGCAAAGGGCAUUUCUCUGGAGACCAGGAGAUGAUUCGGCAAAUCUAUGGCCUACAGGGGGAGAAAGAAGAGAUGGCAGCUCUGUCGUGUGGUGUCCUGCCGUCAGGAGCCAAUUUUCUGAACGAUGCUUGCUCAAAACCCUAGCUGUUGUGAAUUUGUUUCAUACUUUUCUGCACCAAUUCUCAGGUUAUUAUGUUGUAUAUAUGAGUAUCCUUACAUAGUCUUUUUGAGCUUCUGCAGGGCUUUGAGCUCCUUGCCCCCCACUUAGCAAAAGCAAGAUCUUCAGAGUAUUACCACCUUUCUGGAAUAAAACUUUCAUUAAAAUUUAAAGGACUCUGUCCUAGCUGCCUUCAUGUCUUUCCUUGGCCACAACCUCUGAUUUACAAGUCAGACUUCAAGCUUUGCUGAUAGCAUUAGUGGACUAGAUAUUUCCUCUCUUGUGUAGUCUGAUUGGGGUCUUGAAUCAGCUGACACACUUUGUUCUCAGGACAUUCUUGUAGAUUGACCAAACAGAGACUUUACUGAAGGAAGGAUAUAUUUUAGACUUUCCAUUUUGUUCCUUUUUUUUUUUUUUCACAGUGGUCGAAAAUGAGUCAGAUUCUGACUCCGUGUCAGGUGCCACUGAUAAAAAAAUAUAAAUUGUGGAUAAGGCUGCUAUUUUCUGCCACUGAAUGGAAAGCAGUUAGAGCUGCUGGGUCUUAAAAGCCCUUUCUCUCUGCUUCCUCAAAGAUGUGCUGAGAACCUUCUCUAAAUUUCUCACCUUUCCAUCCAUAGUCCAUUUUUAUUAAAAAUGACACAUCUAACUGAAGAAUCAAAGCGAGUCCUGAUUCUGGAUAUCCUGAUACCUGGAUCCUGAUUUUGGAUAUGGACUGGUUUAAAUGCAUAUAUUAGAGAGAGUUAGUGCCUGAUUGCGAGUGUCCUGAAAGAUGAAUCCUGAGAUUCUGCUGCCAGGAAAAGGCAAAUGUCAUUCUCACAAAAAUAAAAUAAUUAAAAAAUAUAUUUAUAAACAUUUUGUCACAUAAGUGAUGUGUAUACAAGAAGGACGUCAGAAUACCACCAAAUAAAUGACAUAGAGCAGGUAAAUUAUAAGUUAGCACGUUCCUUGAUUCUGAAAAAAAAAGUGAUGUGAAAUGGCAACUUCCUUCACAGAACUUGUCGCCAAAUGACAAAGAUAAAUUGACGCUGCUCUUUACUUCCUACUGACCUUUCUGAGAAAGGAAGCUAAAUGCUGUUCUUCCUUGUUUAGAAAAGUUCCAGCAAGGUAUGAAAGACUGUAAGUUUGCACAGAUGUCAUUAGAAGCUGAAUUUAAUCUAAAGAACUUCUAUUUCUGACAUUCAGUGUAUGACAUGGCGGAGAACACCAGAACCUGGCUGUAUUUAAAGGAGACAAGAUGGAUGAUGCUGAAAUGAGCAUGCUUUGUCCUGAGAUGUGCUCAGGUGGUCAGCACCCCCCACCAGCUGAGAGCACUGACUGAACCUGGGUCCUCCAGGGCCGAAGGUUCAAUGAGUUCAAGUGAAGUUAAUACAGCACUGAUAAAUUCACCGCGCAUCCAUCUUAUCCUGGUACUCUACACAGUCCUGAAUUACACCCUGAAUUACUAAAUCCUGAGUAAUUCGGUUGGUCUAUAAGUGAAAACAGUUCUUUUCUUUUUGCAAACAAUAGCCACGGGGAUUUGGGAACUUGGAACUCUCCUUAACUUGUAUUCAUUUCCUUUAUGUGUAACCGUUCUUGAGUGAGCAAGAUAAUACAUAAAAAGUGUUACCAGAAGAGACAGGAUGUCUUGAAGCAGACUUGAGACUAACAUCAUUCUAUUAUACUUACUUUGAUUUAUUUUUGGUCUUAUUUUUUAUUUAUUUGAGCUUACUAGCUAAUGUUAUUUUAACAUUGAUUGUCAGGAAAAGGUUCUGUAAUAUCUUGUUUCAUAUCUGUUCUGUCACUAAAUUUCAGACCUCCUUGUCUUGUAAGCAUUUAUUCUGAACUAAUUUGUCUGAUAUUUUUAAAACAAUAAAUUAUUUACUAUAUUUACAUUCUUUAGAAAUAUAUAACAGCCGCUACAGUUGAAGGCAUCAGAAAAAAUGCUAAGGUGUGCUUGUAGUUUGUAAAUACGUAAGUUGCCAGUUUCAUAGGGUAUGGCCUGAAGAUUUCCAAAGGACCUCAAAACCAAAGUAGCAUAGCUAGUAUAUGACAGAUACAAGCUCUCACUAAAACCAUGACCAACGGGUAAUUUGUUGAACCUGGAUUUUUAAAAGGUAAUCCAAGGAAUUACUAAUACAGUGCAUUUUAUAUUUGUUUAUCAUUAUACUUAAAAAUGGAACGAUACAGUACCUCAAAGAUCAUUUUAUGAGGUGGUUUUAGCAACCACAAUUUCUAGAGCAGAAAAGUCCAUCUCAAUAAACUCUUACUGUUACCUGAGUGGUUCAACAGAGGUAUGGAUAAAGGAGAAUUUACUAAUAUAUUUUAUUUAGAUUUUCACAAACCUUUGGUGAAACUAACAAGCUACUAAGGAAAUUCAGAAUGUAGUUUUACAAGGGAAACUUGGGCCCCGAAAUAUGUAUUUAAGCAACUUUAUUCAUGUUAUAGGCAUUAAUAGCAUUUUUAACCUUGAAGGUUUGCUUAAUGCUGUAGGAACUUGCAUUUUCGACUGGUAAAAUCUCUUAGUUUCCUUGUUUUUGCUGCUGAGCAUGUGCAAAACCAUCUUGACAGCUCCAGGCUGCUAAGCCCCAAAGAAAUACACAAAAUAAGCAUUUUCUUGCAAGUUUCCUCUCAACUGCUUGUCAACUUCAGUUUUGCAUCCCAGCAACCAAUUUCAACUCAUUUUGUUUUAUACUGACUACAUUUACCACAAUUUAUUUUAUAUUCUUGAUAGGAUAUUGAAAGAGGCUCUCAGGGCCACAGAUUGCUGCUGAAAUGUUAGACAACAUUUGGCACGAACAGGAUCAGAAAUUAAAAACUGGCAUUUUUUUAGGCUGGUUGCCUUUGAAACGAAGUUUAUAGGAUUGUGUUGUUUAUCUCUCUGUACAUUCAGCAAUUCACCUUAAAAACUUUGGGACCCAAUUUCAACCGAAUUUGAAAGAUGAAAUCUCAAGAUAAAUAAGGUUUGUGAAAAACUGCAGCUGUACAGAGGACAAGGAGCAUAAUUAAACGCCUGCACUAUGGAAAAGGCAGGUGGAAGCCAGCCUUUUAUAGCAGUUGAGAGCAGCCAGCCAGCCAGAGCAUGCUCAAAGAUUUUGAUUGAGCAUAGCAUGUGGCCUACAUAGAGGGUGGGUUUCAGAAGAUAACCUGAGGUUAUUAGGGCAAAGGAGAUUUUAGGAGACAACACAAGACUGUGAAAACAAUCAAUCAAACCCCACUUCGUUUGUUUUAUUUCUUGCAGAGCAACUCGACUCUCUUGUCCUGCCUCUUCUUCCUUCUUUCCACCCUGAACACCUGCUUUCCUCCCAGAAUUAUGGGAGUGUGUUACUAUCUUUGUAUUCCCCUUGCUCUCCUGGCGCAGUAUCAAUUCAUGUAACUUAACAGGCAUACAAAUUUUGUCUGAUUUAGUAAUGAGGUCUCAGGUGUACCCUGUCGGGAGCCAGUUAAUGGCUCUUUCUUCAUCCAAAAAGUUCAGCCAGGCUGUUAGGAUGUGCUCAUGUCAAAAGCUGUAACGAAACUAAUUGGUACUGACCCCUUUCCAUCCUGACUGGAGAAUCUCCUGCUUUGGUAUGUACACUCACCAAAUAUUUGUGGAUUCUUACUGUGCCCCCUGCCAGCUACCCAACAUUUUAAAGAUCCAGUCCUGUGUGGUGGGACUAGUGAAUCUAGUUUAAAAGGAGCUAACUAGAACUAAGCAAACGCUUUUAAAAAUAUCUAUACACACAUAUCAAAUAGUAUAUCCAACCUACAUCACAAGGUUUUUAGAAUAUUCCUGUACAGUAUGGAGGCUUAAGGAUGUGCUGCAGGGUCUUUAAUGUUCUAUAAAACAGUGUGAGAGUUGUAUAUUUCACAAAUUAGCUUAACUGGAGAAACAAACUACUUGCCUCCUUUUUGUCUUUUCUCUCAGAUUCUACCUCAAGAUGGGUACCUUAUCUAGAAGAGAAAGUUUUUGUAGAUCUUCUCUGGUCAGUUGUCUGAACAGGAUGACCCAACUGUGCUGGUGUCAAAACAAAGAAUACAUACGCUCAUAGCACUGUGCUGUGAUAAAAACUGCUCUUCUGCACAGUGUCCCAGCUUGUGAAACCCGUCUGGUUUUGCAUAAUAGAUAAGCCUCAGGAAGUAUAAAAUUAGUGGGAGUGCUUGCAGUAUGGCCAAGUUACAGUUUUACAGUCGUUUAAAGGUCAGCAGCAAAUCGACAUCUACACCCAGUCCUGCAGGAUAAGGUUUUGUAGGGACAAAGCUCUCAGGCAAAUACCUGCAUCAUUUGCCUAAGGCCAUACAGAAAAUCCCAGGCUGAAGAAGGGACUGAGAUCCCACCCUGUCACAUGCAGGCCAUGGCCAGCGUUACCAAGCCAAUCUUUCUCAUCAUUUACCUAGCACAGACUUUGAAACCUAAGCCUUGAGGAGAAAUUUUCGAAGAAAAAACUCCAGGCCUGAGGUCUCACAGGUCAGCUAUUCUUUUUCCCCCUAACUUCUGGAUUCUCUCUCUCUCUUUUUUAAAAUUUAUUUAUUACUUAACUUGAAAACGAGUUUUGUAUGAGAAGAAAGUUAAAUUGCUGAAGGAGACUAACAAGUUUAUGGAUGCUAUUAUCUCCCAAAUAGUUAAUGUCUCACUUCUCAGUUAAACAUUUAUUUUUUCAAACUUGUUUUCAGCCAUUCUAUUAGGCUUCUGGCUAGGUUAAUUAAGAGUGCAACUAAGCUGAAACCAAAUGAUCUCUGUGAUAGGAUAGGCAGCAUGCAGGCAGCAAUAACAGCAGUACAUGAAUUUCUGAAUGCUGUGAAUGCCUCCGAACUUCACCAACAGGUGAGUUGAUCAGCUCUCAUUCUUCUCUCACAAGAAAAAUAUCACCGUAGCUGGUUACAGAUCAUGCCUGCAAAUGCAAAAAGCUGCAUAGAGACAACAGUGUACAAGGAAGACUUGCUAGGCCAUGGAUUGAGAUCCUUACCAAUGCCAAAUAAAAACUCAUAAUCAGAGAGGUUGGGUGCUCUUCUAAGGAAAAUCUGGAUUUUUUUGCCAACGUGCAAUGAUAGGUGGAGGGACAAGAUUUGAUGGAAAACAUCUAAACCCCAAAACCUAGUGUAAAAAAUGUUCCACCUGCUGUGAAAACAAACAUCAAGGAGGUUAAUAAGGGAAGUCUGAAGCAUUUCUAUGUUCAGAAUUUGGCUGAACAAAGAGAAGCAGUAAAAAUCACAACUACAGGUGAAAUCCAUAGGUGGUUUUACAGAAUGGAAGGAUCUGUACUGCAUCCUGCAACUGCCGGAAAGCAGAGGCACACAGGGGGGUUAACAGGCAGAUCAUGAGACAAGGUGGAGAUUUGGAAAAGCUAUGGCUGCUGUUCAGGCAAGAGGUCCUUGAAAUGUCCUGUGCUCCAUGGAGCACGCUUAAAUCCACAGGUCAGUGCUGUGUACGCUACAGCUACUCAGCACCAAACAAGGAGCUCUCCAGACCACUUAUUUUCUCCAUCUCCCUCUGUAUCUCUACAGAUACAGGUGAUGAAGCAAACAUGGUUAAGAGUUUGCUUUCUGCUGGAAGUUUCAGGCUAUUGUGCACGUGUACUUGAUCCGCAAUACCAGGCCUACCCCUGAAAAAGGCAGGGAUGACUCAGGGAAGACUUUCCCUUCUGAUUCUCAGGUAGAAGCUAGGCUGUCAUACCUGUACCUCAGCUGUCAACUGAGAAGCCUUUACUGGCACUUGUGCAGUGUGCCACUCCCAGGGAGAUUUGGGAGUUUGCAAGGCAUGUUCUGCAGUCCCUGGCACCACUCCUACAUCCACAGAGCAUUUUACAUCUCCAGCAUAUCACCUCUACAGGGAGAGACUUCAAUUAAUCUCUUUGAAACAUUUUCAGAGAAGGCUGGCUGCUGAGUCCACAGAACCAUUGAUACUGCAGAAGCUGUGCUCGGGAGAAGCGCAGAACUGCUCAUCUUCAGAAGAAACAUCUGGCUUGUAACAACAGGCAAAGAGAGAUCCUUCCCUGACACCCAGAUGCAGGCAGGACUGAGGAUACACCGCUGGCUGUGGCCACACCUGAGGACAUUGUGCAGGGGCCCUGGCAGCAGCAGCGCCUUCAGGAGACUUCUGGCAGGGCUCUGACGGGGCUGCAUCCCGCACGGAAAGUGGAAGGCAACAAUCUACAUGAGCCUGUCCUGGGGAAGCACCAAAAUCUUGCCAGAACUCGAUACGAGGUGGGUGGGGAGGAAAGGGAGGUUUCCAUGUUUAACGCCGAGACAACAUGCAUAUUUACAAGCCUCCAUGUUCGCAGUUUUUCUUCCUGUGCUCUGCAUAAACAGGAACCUGCUCCAGUUCGACGGCAGCCGCAUACGGGAUGGGCUGCGGGUUGUUAUUGUUAUUGCCAUAACACUUGUGUGGAGAGAUGUCAACCUGUACCGGGAACCAGUUAGGCUAUAAACACAGCAGGCUGGAGUCCCUUGGAGAAGCAGAGAGAUAGAUGACUUGCCUGCAGUUAAACAUAAGUCAGUGGCAAAAAAUAGUACUGAUCUCUGGGCUGAAAAGCCAGCGUGGGAUCAACCCUUUUUGUCUCAUGCUUCCUGCAGCUUGCAGACGGAUGUGGAUACGUAGGGCUGAAUUGGGAUCUGUUAGAUCUAAUUAAGCCCUAAUUAUAAUACAUUAAACAAUUAAAAUAAUGAAGAUCAGGCACAAUCAGAUCUCAAAACAAAGAGAUUUAGCAAGAUUAGAUGUUUAAAACUGUACAGAUGAUGCUGCUAAUCUUGGAGGAGAUCCAACAUAAACAAUACAAUAUCCAGCCAGCUGGGAAGACAGCAAACUAGAGGUAAUAUCAGGUUCCCAGCACAAAGCGUGAGGGGGUAGGUGGAUUUUCCCCCUCCAUUAUCCAGCUAUAUGUUUAGACAAAAGCAAAAUACUGUAUAUAUCAAAAAAUGUAUACGUGUGCACACAUAACACGAUGCAUGUGAAUGAUGGAAAUUUAUGGGCUUCGAGGAGGCAGGGAACUCACAGCUUUAAAUGCUUGGUGAAUUAUACAUGUUGCUGUACUUCUCAUUUAUGCUUUUAAGAGUUAUGUGGUUAGCUAUUUAUAGUAACUUUAGCCCUGAGGAAGCUGGCUUUGACUGACAACUGUGGGAGCAGAAGGUGUUCUUUGUCCAUAAAACAGGUUUGGGAGAUGAGAGGGGACCUUGGGCCCCACGCUCAUUCCUUUCCUGGCCUCUCCAGGGAUCUCAUCACCACUUUUUAUCAGCAGCAAUGCGUUUAACACGCUUUGUCACUUGUGAGAAAAACCUGCCGUGUUGUUUGCGUGAAGCCAGGCUCCCCCCCCGCCCCGAAACCCUAAGUUGGUGGAAGACCCUGGAGCCGGGCACAAAGCCACGGGGAGGGAGUGCUGCAAAAUGCCCUGAAGCUGUUUGUUGGAGGCAGAGCGUGGGGAAGAGCGAUAUGUAACAACUGGUAAUGGAAGGGCAGGUAAAUGUGACCAAAGGCCUGUCCUGCAGUUCACACGUAGAACGACUUUACCAGAAAAAAAGAAAUUCUCUUAAAAAAGCCAAAGAACAAAGACAUUUGAGGCAUCCUCUGGGAAAUAAGGAUGAGCAAUCUAAACUCUGGGUUUUCUUUGUAUAAUCGAACACCGUAUUCCUGGAGGGAUCUUUUUAUUUGGUUCUUUGCUCUCUCUGAUUUCUCUCGACAAUGUACACAAGCUGCAGCACAGAAGAGAGAGUCAGAGAGAGAUAACAGGGUACUGAGAGAAUUUAAUUAAUAAAUCCUUGUGGGACUGUGGGUGACUAUGGAGAGAAUGGAAGACAAUGAGCAAAAAGAGGUCCUCUUAAUGUCUGAACGUGUUGAACAUUUCACUGAAGGAAAGCAAAAGAGGCACCAAAAGGAGUUUAUAGUUGUUGGAAAACAACAAAAAAAGAGUAUUAGGCAAUGCGUUCUCUUUUCUCUUUCAAUUUUGCUGUAGCAAAACUUAGCACUGCGCCACUUUCAAGGAGGAGAAUUUGGGCCAAGGAUUUAGCAGCAGACAUCUGAAGAACGCAGAAAAAGCAAUGGAUCGGGGAAGCAGAAUAAAAGACUUUUACAACAACCACCUUCUGUCACAGUUCUUCGGGAGACACACAUGAAGUCCUGCACGGGUGGGUGCCACACACACCGAGACACAAACGCUGGAGCCUCCUUGCUCCACAGCAGGCAGCAGAUAGACAGGAGCAAGGCUGCUUAACUUCAGGCUGACCCAGGAAUGAAAAAUUUUUGGCAUACUGGUCUUGACCUCUCUCUUCUGUCCUGUCAGCUGUUGUUUCCCAGUGCCCUUGGACGGUCUGAAUUUGCUCUUGCUGACAGCCUUUGUGUAGUUCCCUCCCCUGGUACGUGUGUGGAAGCUAGGCUUUUAGGUCUUUGGGUGGGUCUUGAAAUUGCCGAUUAAAAUCCCACAUCUCGGCUUUUAUUAAAAGCUUUGCUGAGGUCCAGAAGUUGCUGGAAGCCUGAUAUUAGCCACAAUUUACUGGCUGUGAAUUAUGUAGAUACUCAUAUUUUUAAUUUCCUUUCAUUUAGUUGUGUGUGCAGGACCUCUGUCAUGACCAGCAGGGAACUCUCCUGGGUACAGAGAGGCAAUUCAGUGUCUGUGCCAACCCUGGCUUGUAAAAGCCUGGCAGCUCUUGACAAACAAAGCCUAGAAAUGUUGCUAUUAAAAGCAUUUAUUGAAUAAAUCCAUAUGUGACAAAAUGAUAGCUGCAAAAAGCACUGGAAUUGUUUUUUUAAUGGAUAAAUCUUAUUUGAAAGGUAAAGGGGAGCUGCAAAAGCUCAGAGAACAGUCACCUGAGGAUAGAGCUUUGAGCAAUGUGGGAAAAAUUAGACCCACUAUGAACAAUAUAGAAGAUAAUAGAUUUCAGAACAUGUCUGCUUUGAGUGGGAGCUUUUAUGUAAAGAAAAGAGAGGAUAAGCCUGGUUUUAACUUCUGUACUUGAACGCUCUCGCAGAGAUAAGAGAACAAAUCCUCAUUCCCAUCAGCAAGCCUGCAGCAGCUAGAAACAAGAGGACCCCUGUUCUUCUGCAGAGGGGGCAGCAGGCUGCAAGUGGCACCGUGGGCAGGCUCUCAUCUCCCAGCCGAGCUGCAAGGCCUCCAGGUCUGCUUUCCACCUUGAUUAUACACCAAGAUGCCACUGCAGCAUGCCCUCUCUUCUCCUCUCCCUUCAGGAGGAAAGGAGGAGGGCUGCUGACCCGAGAGGGGGCUCUGUUGGGUUCUCCCCCGUCCCCACAGCAAAGCACCAGCCCUUCGCUCUGUGCGCAGCCUUUAUGCUUGAGGGAGGCAGGGUGCUGAGCUCAGGUGGUUGAGAUCUCCCUAGAGGGUGGAGCAGAGGAGCAGCGAUUGUGUAAAGGCUGCUGUAACAACCGAAGAGCAGCUCUGCUGGAAAUCCAAAAAUUGUCAUGGGAGAGGAUCCUAUUUCUGCGCCUCUCUGCUUAAAGCUUCUUUGCUUUGGCCUUGCUUGGUGAUCAGAACUUGCUCUAGAUACCAAAAUAAAGAAAAAAGAAUGACAUUCUUUGAAAAGAGGCAUCUGGACUGUAUUUAGCCUUAAAAAUAAACCAAGAGCAGCUAUCUGAAUUGAUUGUCUCGUGGGAUGCUGAAGACGAUCUGUCAUGAUGGGCUUUCGGCAGGUGAUAGCUGGGGGUGGAUGUUUUCAUUUGAGGGGUGGAGAGCCCUUCACUGGAACUGGCAGAGGCAGAUGCAGUGACCUAUAGGUGCAAAAUAACCUCUCUGGGAACGACCAGUCUCUAGAGAGGACAGGCUGCUCCUGUGACGGCUGCUGACAUAUAUGAAUGCAGUAUGGAAGUGCUCAAACUAAGUCAGGAAUUUCUUGGCACACAUAAUGUCCACAUUGGGGAAAUGUUUUACAUCACUUCAGGGAUGGCCUAGCUCGUCCGGUCUCUUCAAAGAGAUUGUUGGAGAAACUAUGAAAACAGCAUAUCAGGAUUAUAGAGGUUUACUGGAGGAUCAGAUAGAAAUGAAAGGGAGGACAGAAAAAUUGUUAUGGAACAAUUAAAACAAAUAACAUCAGAAAACAUAACAGCGGAACUGAUCCUGCAGAAGUCCUGGAUGAAUAUCACAAGCAAACCUGGAUUUAAGAAGAUAUUUGGGAAGUAAUGAGUUCAAUCUUGCGAGGAACAGAUUUUUAAAAUCAGACGUAGGAAAACAGUCAGAAGCGCCUACUAUGUUUGGAAUAUUACACAUGCAGGUGCAAGUGCCCGAUUUAGAAAUGAGUCUCUGACAUUCCUGCAAGGAGCAAAUGGAUGUUUGUGUGCACCUAUUGCUGCAAAUCAGCCUUAUCGCACAAGAAUGUCCUGCUUUUGGAAAUGUCAAUAUUUUCUGAAAAAAAUAAUUGUCCUCUCCUCAGUUUCCCAAUCUGGGAUGACCAAUGCUGGUGAAAUUGUAGGCCUUUUAUUUCAUGACAGAUCUACACUGGCUUUUCUCUAACAGCAGUUUUCCCUUCUAUUGCUUCCCAAAGUGGUUGUGGCAGAGUUGUGGUAUAUCAUCAAAGAAUGUCAGGUGCUUAGUGCUCGCAAACCACCUCCUUAUUAGAAAACCUCUUAGUGAAAAGGAGCCAUUUUCCAAAAUUGAGGCUAUAUAAACUUUCAGAGGUGUCUGGGAUCCUUAAUUUCUACCUUAUUCUUCAAAAAAAGAGAUGGGUAGACAAAAAAAAAAAACCACAAAACACAACAGUUCAACGCCUUACACAGGGCAGAACAGCUAGAAAACAGGGAACAGAAGAAACACAUUGCAUUUAAUUCACCUGUGAAUUAAUUGAGUUUAAUUCACGUGUUCAACGCCCCUUGUGUUACAAGUGAGUACCACUGCCAUGCUCCAGUCCCAAACUACAGUAGCUGCCAUCCCGUGUCAGUAACUCCCCUCUCUGCCGUCUCGCUUUCUUCCCUCCUUUGCCCAGUGGUUCCCCUGUUCCAGGGAUGAACGCCAUGGGAUCCCACCACCGGGAAGAGGAAGAUGUCUCUUUUAGCCAAGCCAGGCAGGCCAACGAGGAGCUGCAGCAACAUCGUGGGUCUUGCCACUGCAGGAGCUGGCGAAGGAGUGCUGAUAGCCCAGCAGCAGUUGCUGUGUGGGGUGAAGGGAGGGCCCCAUCCCGCACCAGUACUUCUGUCUUCACCCUUCCUAUCUCUGCAGCAGAGGCAGCAGCAACAAGCCUGGUUUUCCGUCGCAGUGCUGCCCUUCCUUCCCCUUUCCUGUGGCAGGAGCAACCCAGCCCUGGCCCCUCGUCCUCAAGACAGCAAUAUUCAGUGCUGCCGGGCCUCCCAAGGAGCCCCGAGGUGGCUCUGCCCUGAAUUCCCCACAGGUGACACCUGACGCUGGGGACUUGCAGCAGCGUGGUGUCCUAAGGCAAAGGUAUGGAACUGUCUCUCUUGUGAGUUUUUAGGGAAAAGUCAGAUGUUUCUGCUAAAUUAGGAUGCCAAGCUUGCCAUCAGGUUUUGCACACGCAGAAGAGCCUCUUGGUUAAGGCAAGGUCGCUGAAAUUGGAGUACUCGGCCCAGUUCGGCCCACAGGGAUUUCAAUGCACGCGUCCUCCGUGAACCAGUGUUCAGCCACCAAAGUGUGCUGCCACCAGCUCACCAAACCAGACCUCCUCACCACAGGAGCUGCUGAGGAGCUGCUCCCUCGUCCUCCCUGUCCUUCGCUCAGGGAACCAUCUUUUUCCGGGGGAAUUUUGGCAGGCUGCUCCGGCCUUGAACCUGCAUUACAAACUAGGGAAAACACCGGACCCUCGUGCCUUUGAAAUCACCUUGAGCCUCGCGUUGCUCUAUUUCUCCCAACAAUUCCCGUUUGUGUGCUGUGACAUUUAAGUUCCCCCAGACACUCGAAGCAGAAUGUCUGGGCAAUUAUAAGCUGAAUUUGUGGUUCAGCUUGCACCCACCUCCCGUGGGCCGAGCCCUCAGCUUCUGUGGCCAUGCAGUGCCAUUUAUACAGCCCUGGGAUGCGGCUUUAUGGCCAGCCCAGAGAGAUGGAUGCAGGGCUCCUACAGAUGAGACUCCAGCACUCGGUCUGAUCUCCAGAUCCUUCCUUCCACAUCCUUGCAAGCCAAAAAAGGCUUUUAACAGGGAAGGCUGAGCUUGAAUCUCCCACUCCAAAAUCGUGCGUGGAUCUCUGCUUGCAGGCUCCCUUCCUUCCUGGCCUCUUCACAAUGAAGUGCGCUGUAUAAAUGUUAUUUAUUGUCAACCUCGCUGGGAAUGGAGCGUGACCGGUUAUAACAAUCCCUUGAAUUUCUUAAACACGUUAUACCUCAUUUCAUCGCCCUUGGCUAACGUUAGGACUUGAGCCUCGCAGUGCCUGGUCAGCAGGGUAAGUGCUGCUGUCUGUGGGUUACGGCUGGGACACUGAGGCACAAAGGCUCUCAGUGGCCACUGGGAUCUCUGAAAAUCCCACGGGGUGGACUGAGACACCAGGUGUUCCCAGCCUCAGGUCUGUGCCAGCCCUCUGCCAACCCCCUAAUAACAGGGCCAGCAGAAGGAGAAGUGUAUGAAGGAUCCUGCCAUCCCAGUUUUAGCACAGUUUGCCAGCUUUUGCAUGGAUAUGGGGAGCUCUGCACAGGACAGGUGGGUCACAGGAACUUGAACUUUUAUUACCUUCAGUCAGUCUCGCUCUGGGGCAGUGACUGCUAGCAGAGGGGGCAAAAAAUGCCAACAGCCAUUGCAGAAUCACCCAGCACUGUCUGGCAGAGACCUCAAUGUGACCCAGAAGAUACACUCGUAGCAGAGCCAAUCUCUUUUCAACCACAGAGCCAUCCUUCCUUCCCCAGGUCUCUGUGUCACGUGCUCCAAUAGUGGAGGUAUUUCUC